UACGUAGGGUGCGAGCGUUGUCCGGAAUUACUGGGCGUAAAGAGCUUGUAGGUGGUUUGUCGCGUUGUUCGUGAAAUCUCACGGCUUAACUGUGAGCGUGCGGGCGAUACGGGCAGACUAGAGUACUGCAGGGGGAGACUGGAAUUCCUGGUGUAGCGGUGGAAUGCGCAGAUAUCAGGAGGAACACCGGUGGCGAAGGCGGGUCUCUGGGCAGUAACUGACGCUGAGAAGCGAAAGCGUGGGGAGCGAACAGG
rnacentral:rRNA from 1 species